CUGUGGAAAAAUUUCCUGCCCUUCUAUCACUCCCGAACACCGUUUGUCCUCAACAUGCGAGCAACUUGGCUCAACACUGACUACCAGCGCACUGCCUUUCACAGGCUCAUCUAUUCCUUGCUAGAUAUGCCAGAGGUGUACAUAGUGACGAUGUCACAGAUGAUUGACUGGAUGCAAAACGCCACUUCUCUCCCCCACAUUUUGGAAUUCGAACCCUGGUCAUGUCCACAACGCCACCUUUACAACUCUGCAGAAAAGGGCUUUCCAAGCUGCCUGGACAUUUUGUUUACUUUGCUUCUUUUGUUAUUGUUGAAUAAAGGUUUGCACUAUUGACUGACUGAAA